rnacentral:rRNA from 3 species
UUUAACUGAAGAGUUUGAUCAUGGCUCAGAUUGAACGCUGGCGGCAGGCUUAACACAUGCAAGUCGAGCG